ensembl:lncRNA
AUAAGGAAAGUUAAAAGGGUGCACAGGCUUUCCCAUCAGCUAUCCCAGCACACUGAUUUGCAUGUUUAACUGCCCCACUUACACAGUUAUUUGAAGACAUUCAGCUUUUCUGCUUUCCUGAGCUGAGGUCAUUUACAGUGUUAAUCUGGCUCCCAAGGAGUACUGCUGGUUAGGGAUAUCUGGCUGAUUGCUUUUCAGUAUCUGCCUGACAUGAGAGCACCACAAAACACAGAAGUAUCUUACUAAUACUCCUGUGAGUGCUAAGAAGAUGGAAACAAUCACACAAUGCUUUCCUCUAUGUCUUCAGGUUUCUGGGUGGAACUUCACAUGUCCUUAAGCAGCUUUUGCCAUUGCAUGCCAUUUUUACUUUCAUUUUGACACUUGGAAUCAAUUUGAUAUGUACUGCUGGCUUUCUAUCUAUCACAUACAAGGACUCUUCUUGGGUUUGAUAUAAACUGCUUUGAGUUAUAGUGUAGUAAGAUUACAAGUUGCUCGUCAUGGCAUAAUGAGGAAAAGAAAUUUGCCAAAUUAGGGAAAGUGGAAUAGAGGGAAUGAAGGACAGGGUCUUAAGACCACCAGAGAGCCGCAUGGCACGUGCUCAAACGACAUUAGCAUUUAUUAACGAGUUCUUGGAAAAGAAUGAAUAUGUGUGCUGUUUCCAGGAAAUAUACUGCAUGUGUAUAUUUUAACUGCAUAAAUAUAGCACCUGAACUCUGAGAGGAUGUGCUUGGUUCACCAAGUCACCUGGUAUGUAUAACGAAAUAAACAAUGCCUGCUUUCUAAUGCCUCCAUAGUGUUAGGGAGUUUUCUUCCCAGAUUUUCCGAUGGUCAUUUCAUAUUAUUUCUUCUACAGAUUUGGUGUGAAUCAAUAAGACACCACAACACAUUUUAACUCUUUUGAGAGUUCCUGAAGUAAGAACAGCAAAGUAAUCCUCAGAGUUAUAUCACGCUCAGCAGAGGUGAUGCAACUUGCCAGUUUCAGGGUACCUCCCUCAGCUGUGAAUGGCUGGAAACUGGACGUGGCCUGGAGCAGAUGCAGCUGUAUGACACCAGCAGAUCUGUGAUUGCUCUCUCCUCUUUACUGCCAGCAGAAAACAUGCCUCUUGAACUCGUUCAAGUCAUCAUAGCUAAUGAAUAACACCAAUCCUUACAGCUGUUGCAUGAUGUUUUAUUGUUCCUGUUAGCCAGGAUGUCAAGUUGACAGUUGUCAUAUACUCAUCCUCCCGGCAGAAUGAAUAUCAAGGUGGAAGUAUGAUGCAAGUGUCCACAGCCUGGCAUGGCCAAACUUCACAGCAGAAUGAUGCAAUGUGUACUUUGGGCACUAAAGCAACAGCUUACAGAUACACUAUUUGUGUGAGGCAUACCCAGAUGUGCCUUCACGGAAUAGGUCAACACCAGAAUGAGACGCUUAGGUCUCUAGAUCCUCAAGAAGUGUUUCUUUAUAAUUGAGUUGCACACUCAGUGACCCCUUAUUAGCCCAGUCGUUGGAGAAGAACUUGAUAGACAUAUCUGACAGACACAGAACUAUUCAUCUGCUGUAGAAAAGCUAUCAGCAGGGACUGUUCAUAGUUACUUUAAGCAAAACUGGAUUCAUGGUUUUGUGACUUUUGUUGUCCAUAUUCCACAUCAUAACGUCAUGUAGAGCACUGGAAGUUAAAGAGUUAAUGCUCCAGAGAUGCCCCAUUUCCUUUUCUGCUCAUCUCCACAGUGUGUUGCUCCAUAUCCAUCUCACCUUCAGCUUUAGGGUAAGGCCUUCAGUUUUGGACAUUCUCUCUCACUUAUUUGGUUUAUUAGCUUCAAUUCCUAUUAACUUGUAUUCCUGCUAUUACAAUUAGUAAAUUAACUUUCCUCAUCAGAUCGUUGCCGCUGUUUUUAUUUAUUUAGUUAUUAUUGUUCCUUUCCCUUUUUGUUCCCUUCCCCUCUUUUUCAGACCGGUGGGCUUGCAGACCUGCUGUCCCCAUCACGGACACAGACAGAUCUAGAGAUAACUCCAUGACAAAAAAGCAGUAUGAUACGAUGAUUUAAUGAAAUGUCAGAAGUGAACAAGGUCCAUGGAAUUGAAAAAAGACCAUUCAAACAAUGAUGAAAA